rnacentral:rRNA from 1 species
UACGUAGGCAGCGAGCGUUGUUCGGAAUUACUGGGCGUAAAGAGUGUGUAGGCGGUGCUCUAAGUUCGGUGUGAAAUCUCCCGGCUUAACUGGGAGGGUGCGCCGGAAACUGGAGUGCUCGAGCGUGGGAGAGGAAAGCGGAAUUCCUGGUGUAGCGGUGAAAUGCGUAGAUAUCAGGAGGAACACCUGCGGUGUAGACGGCUUUCUGGACCAUUGCUGACGCUGAGACACGCAAGCGUGGGUAGCAAACAGG